rnacentral:lncRNA from 1 species
CUUCAGACAGAAGGCUGUUGGCACCUGGACCUUCCCUUGGCUGUUCUAGCCUCGAGGUCUUCCCUGCCCGGGCUUCCGUGUCCAGCAGCCUGCUUCUUCUGUGGCCUUUUCUCCUCUGCAGCUCCCUUAGGCGCUAGUGUCUCUGGGCUGGGCCUCCUCACUCGCUCCGAGAGGUCUCCUCCGUGUUCAUGGAAACCACCGCCUCAGGCAGCAGAGUUUAUGAAGCCUGUCUGUGCAGCACCGCCUCUCCAGAGCCCCUUACCUUUUCUUUCCUUCGCUUAAGCAAGAUUGGAUUUGCUGGAGGAUUUUGGCAGAGGUGUCCGAGGCAGCCGUCAUGCUGGUGGCAGUGAUUCUGAGCCGGGAAUGGCAGUGGCAGAGGGAGAGUGCCGAGCAGCCAGCCUGUUGCCUUACUCAUUUCUGUGAAAUUUCUGUGGAUGGGGCUGGCCCCAUGGCUGAGUGGUUAAGUUCCUGCGCUCCACUGCAGGCGGCCCAGUGUUCCGUUGGUUCGAAUCCUGGGCGCAGACAUGGCACUGCUCAUCAAACCAUGCUGAGGCAGCAUCCCACAUGCCACAACUAGAAGGACCCACAACGAAGAAUAUACAACUAUGUACUGGGGGGCUUUGGGGAGAAAAAGGAAAAAAAAAUUUAAAAAAAUCUAAAAAAAAAGAAAGAAUUUUCUGUGGUGAUAACCUCUAGAUAAUCACCUUUUUAAAAUUGAUUUUGGAGUGUUUUCAGUUUUUCAGUAUUAUAAAUAGUGCUUAAAGAAUAUCCUUGUAUUCAACUAUAAUUACUGCUUUAGGACAAAUUCCUGAAAGUGGAAUCAUCAUGACAGAAUAUGCAAUAUUCUAAGACAUUUAAUAGAUAUUUCUGAAUUGUUCUCCAGAAUUGGGUUAAGAGCUUACAUACCCCUCCCCCCAGCAGUAUGCAAGAUUAGUGGUUUUCUACCUCCCAACCCAAAGGAGGGUAUCAUAAUUUUAAAAUCUUUCCCAACAUGAUAGGUGAAACCAAUUUUGUUAUUCUAUUAAUUGGAUUUAUUUCUAGUGAGAGCAAAAUUUUUUCUUAUGUUUGUUGAUCAUUUUUUUGUUCUUUAGUCAAAGUGCCUGCUCAUAUCAUCUACCCUGUUUUUCUAUUGGGACAUUUAAUUUAUGAAAUUCUCCCACAAGUGCAUUUCUGUACAUUUUUCUUAGGUUACCAUUUUUGCCUUUUGUGAUUGAUGUUGUUUCUGUGUCAUUUAAUGCAUAAAGUUUUGUGACUUUGGUGAUGAAGUGAGGGUCAAAAAUAGGCCUGCUGUUUGUAGUUAAUAAUAAAGACAGGUACCACUUGUUAAACA